CCCUUAGAUGUUCUGGGCCGCACGCGCGCUACACUGACGAAUGCAACGAGCUUAUAACCUUGGCCGAAAGGUCUGGGUAAUCUCCAAAUUUCGUCGUGAUGGGGAUAGAUUAUUGCAAUUAUUAAUCUUCAACGAGGAAUGCCUAGUAAGCGCAAGUCAUCAGCUUGCGUUGAUUACGUCCCUGCCCUUUGUACACACCGCCCGUCGCUCCUACCGAUUGAAUGGUCCGAUGAAUAUCAUGGAUUGAGGAUGCAAGUAGGUUAGCCUAUCUUCAUCUUCGAGAAGUGAAGUAAAUCUUAUCAUUUAGAGGAAGGAGAAGUCGUAACA
rnacentral:rRNA from 1 species